GAGUGAAGCGGCAACAGCUCAAAUUUGAAAUCUGGGCCCGAGUUGUAAUUUGUAGAGGAUACUUUUGAUGCGGUCCUUCCGAGUUCCCUGGAACGGGACGCCAUAGAGGGUGAGAGCCCCGUCUGGUUGGAUGCCAUCUCUGUAAAGUUCCUUCAACGAGUCGAGUAGUUUGGGAAUGCUGCUCUAAAUGGGAGGUAUAUGUCUUCUAAAGCUAAAUACCGGCCAGAGACCGAUAGCGCACAAGUAGAGUGAUCGAAAGAUGAAAAGCACUUUGAAAAGAGAGUUAAAAAGUACGUGAAAUUGUUGAAAGGGAAGCGUUUAUGACCAGACUUGGGCUUGGAAUCAUCUGGGGUUCUCCCCAGUGCACUUUCCAGUCAGGCCAGCAUCAGUUUUCCCCGGGGGAUAAGGCGGCGGGAAUGUGGCUCUGGGAGUGUUAUAGCCCACCGUAUACCCUGGGGGGGACUGAGGUUCGCGCAUCUGCAAGGAUGCUGGCGUAAUGGUCAUCAACGACCCGUCUUGAAACACGGACCAAGGAGUCGUCUUCGUAUGCGAGUGUUCGGGUGUCAAACCCCUACGCGUAAUGAAAGUGAACGCAGGUGAGAGCGGCGCAUCAUCGACCGAUCCUGAUGUUCUCGGAUGGAUUUGAGUAAGAGCAUACGGGGCCGGACCCGAAAGAAGGUGAACUAUGCCUGUAUAGGGUGAAGCCAGAGGAAACUCUGGUGG
rnacentral:rRNA from 1 species